AUCUCUUGCUUUGUCAGCACAUGUGUCUCCUCGGACAAUUCAUUUCCGAGUGUUCGACAAGAGCCCAGUUUUGGACCCUGGAAUGGGUCCCCUUUCCUGCAACAAAUGGCGACUCUGGUGAGACUGUUCUUUGCUGAGACUGACAUCCUGACCACUCGGGGUACUCAGGGGCCAGCUUGCCUGCCAAUGGACCAGACCCAGUGGCCGUACCUGGGACCCUUUUGUCCCUGGUCUCCUCCUGAUGUGGACAACUGGCCAGAGUGCCCCCACCGUCCUCCAGUCCUGGAUGCAGGAAUCUGGUCCAAGAGCCUCAGCCUGAGCUGAGGAUUGGAGACUGAUCACGUCCUCUUGGCAGAGAACUCGAAUUCUGGUUCUGGUCUUGUUAGGGGAAGCACACGGACUGAAACUGCCCACCCUGGUCAGGCCCUUUAGUAACCAUUCGCAUGAGUUGUUUUAUGACAGGAGAUCCUGGUAAGGAAUACGGAA